ACGCUCAGUGGAAAGGAUGUGGGAUUACACAGACAGUGAGGAUGUUGGCUUAGAAGCAGCCACCAUUUAAAAAAUGCGUAAUAGCUUACUCAUCGAGUGAUCCUGCGCCGAAAAUGAUUGGCGAUCAAGCGUUAUACCGAAGCUCUGGACUUUGCCGCAAGGCAGAGUGGUAGAAGAGCGUUGCAUGCGCGUCGAAGGGCGAUGGCGACUGACCCUGGAGCACAUGCAAGUGAGUAUGCAGACAUGAGUAACGUUAAGCCGGGUGAAAUCCCCGGCCGCCGUAAACCCGAGGUUUCCAGGGCAACGUGUUUCGUCCCUGGGUUAGCCGGGACCUAAGCCGAGGCCGAGAGGCGUAGGCGAUGGACAUCAGGUUAAUAAUCCUGAGCUCGCAACCCUUAAACUGGGGGGACGCAUGAGAAAAGAUGACUAGGUUAUUGAAUUCCGAGUUGAGUCCACGGACUCAGCGCAUCAUUGGAUCGAGUGCCAAGAAAAGCCCCAGCGUAUGCUAAGCGACCCGUACCGCAAACCGACACAGGUGGGUGGGUAGAAUAUACCAAGGCGUAAGAGUGAAACCUGGUUAAGGAACUCGGCAAAUUAGCCCCGUAACUUCGGAAGAAGGGGUGCCUGCAGCGAUGCAGGCCGCAGAGAAAUGGCCCAACCGACUGUUUAUCAAAAACACAGCACUCUGCAAAGACGCAAGUCGAAGUAUAGGGUGUGACACGUGACCAAUGCCGAAAGAUUAAGGCAAGGGGUUAGCCGCAAGGCGAAGCUCUAAACCCAAGUCCCGGUGAAUGUCGGCCGUAACUAUAACGGUCCUAAGGUAGCGAAAUUCCUUGUCGGGUAAGUUCCGACCUGCACGAAUCGUGAAACGAGUUGGGCACUGUCUCAACCAGGCGCUCAGUGAAAUUGUAGUGGCGGUGAAGAUGCCGCCUACCCGCAGAAGGACGGAAAGACCCUAUAGACCUUAACUGUAAGCUGUCAUUGUUUCUUCGGUUUUAAUGCUCAGAGUAAGUGGGAGACGCUGAAGACGCCCUUUAGGGGGCGUCCGAGUCAUCAAUGAGACACCACCCUUUGAAACUGGAGGAUCUAACCCUGAGCCGUGAAUCCGGCCAGAGGACCGUGUCAGCCGGUCAGUUUUACUGGGGCGGUAUCCUCCCAAAGAGUAACGGAGGAGCGCGAAGGUGGGCUCAGCCCGGUUGGCAACCGGGUGUCGAGUGCAUGGGCAUAAGCCCGCCUAACUGUGAGACCAACAAGUCGAGCAGAUGCGAAAGCAGGCCCAAGUGAUCCGGCGGUAGAAAGUGGAAUUGCCGUCGCUCAACGGAUAAAAGGUACCUUAGGGAUAACAGGCUGAUCACGCCCAAGAGUUCACAUCGACGGCGUGGUUUGGCACCUCGAUGUCGGCUCGUCGCAUCCUGGGGCUGGAGAAGGUCCCAAGGGUCCGGCUGUUCGCCGGUUAAAGCGGCACGCGAGCUGGGUUCAGAACGUCGCGAGACAGUUCGGUCCUCUAUCCUCUGUGGGCGUUGGAAAAUUGAGGGGUUCAGACCUUAGUACGAGAGGACCGGGUCUGACGCACCACUGGUGCAUCGGUUGUACUGUCAAGUGCAUGGCCGAGUAGCUAAGUGCGGACGGGAUAAGCGCUGAAAGCAUCUAAGCGCCAAGCCCUUCCCAAGAUGAGUUUUCCCUACAGGUUCGUGGAAGACCACCACGUUGAUAGGUCGCAGGUGUAAGUGCAGCAAUGUAUUGAGCCGAGCGAUACUAAUUACCAAUUGACUUCAUC
rnacentral:rRNA from 1 species